GGUUUUUUCCCAUGCUGUUCUUAUGAUAGUGAAUAAGUCUCACAAGAUCUGAUGGUUUUUAUAAAGGGCAGUUCCCCUGAACAUGCUCUCUUGCCUGCUGCCAUGUAAGAUGUAUUUUUGCCCUUCCUUCACCUUCUGCCAUGACUGUGAGGCCUCCCUGGCCAUGUGGAACCUUCUGAUCAGACACCAAUGAGACUAGCGCUCGGAUCCAUAACUGGAGGAAACGAAAUCAGAGGCGUGGGUCAGAGGCCAUAUACAAAGAAGACGAAAGGAUUGAGAGAUGCACCUAUGGAAAACAAUUCAACAACAAUUAUGGGCCAGGCUUGAUGAACCUCCGAAGUCUGAAGAGUGACUUCCUACCAACUUUGAGGAUAGAAGUCUUUCUGAUACAGCAUACAGCAUGCGAAAUGGCUUUUUUCAUUUUAUACAUCUUCAUUCAAAACAGAACUGGAAUUUAUUGGGGAGAACUGCGGCCUGAUCAUUAGCUGCAAGGACUAAGACGCUAGAAAGGCAGACAUCUCAGUUUGAGGACUGGACUGUGAAUUGUGGACUCGCCUCUGUGGAGGAGGUGCUACCCCUCUGGAAGGUAGAAGGGCCUGGGUGGUGUACAGAGGGUGAGUCCCAUGGGCACCCAGGGCCACUUUAACACUGUCACUUUGGGUGCUGCUUUUGAAAAGGAUAAAAUUUGACUGAAAUGCCAAAAGACACCAACAUGUAAAAUUAAGGCCAAACUCUUAUUACAACUUGACACAAUUUAAAUAUAGAAUAACAUCUACAGAAUGUAUUCAAUAUGACUUCUCUUUAGGGGUUAAUUUCUCUGCUAAGGCAGAGAACAAAUUUCCAGAAGUUAUUACAAAAUAACAACCGUAUUAUUUCCAGAUAACAGAAAAUAAGAGUAAAAAGCCACAAAUGAGAAAGAACCUAUAUUGAUUUAUGUGUGAAAAAGAAAGCAGACAAGCAAAUAUAUGCUAUUUAGCAUACAUCUGUACAUUAACAUUUUAAAUUUAAGAAGAAAGAUGAGGUAGGACUAAGAAUGUUAUUGUUGGAGAAAUAAAACCCAUGUAUCGCUUCUCGGCCUUUUGGCUAAGAUCGAGUGUGUAUAAAACCCAUAUAUACAGCAAAAUUUAAUUCUUUAUUUUUCAUAUUAAAAAAAUUUAAUUCUUUAUUUUCAUAUUAUUUUGCAGUUAACAAAAAUCACUGCAUCACAAAUAAACCAAAUAGACCUAAAUCAUUUGCCAAACAAUCUGGCAGUCCAUACAAGCAUUUUUCCCACAUUUAAAUUUCACUGACAACAUGACUGUUGGCAUGAGAAAACUGAAAGGGAAUUAGUAUUCUGACUAUAAUUCAAAUUCCUAUUUCAAUGCAAAAAGUUCUUUCACGAUUGUGUGCCAGACAAAUGUAUUUUUCUUACCCUGUAAACAGACUCUACUGCUUGAAUUGCUUUGUAGCAGAGUCGGAGAGCAGAUGCACUGGCCUCUACUGAUCCUUCUCCUACAGGAAAGACAGAAACUUCUCCAGCUGGGUGCCACUCUGACUGGAUUAUGCCAGGCAUGAUGAUCAUGCUGUGCUAAUAAGGUCAGGGUCUGAUCCCUGUGUGUUCUUCCCUCUGCUCCAAGCAGCCCAACUAUAUGCUCAACCUGGUGAAUUAUUUCACAAAUGUGAGAGCAGGCAGAUGGGCAAGGGUGUAACGCUAGAUUUGCCCAGAUCCAUCAUCGUUCAUAGAAGGAUGAAGGAAUGGGCCAGGCAUGGUGGCUUAUUCCUGUAAUCCUAGCACUUUGGGAGCCCAAGGCUAGAGGAUCACUUGAGCCCAGGAGUUUGAGACCAGCCUGGGCAACGUCACAAGACCUUUCUCUACAAAAUGUAAACAAAUUAGCCAGGUGUGGUGGUGUGAACCUAUGGUCUCAGCAACUUGGGAGGCUGAGGUGGGAGGAUCGCUUAAACCCAGGACUUUGAGGCUACAGUGAGCUAUGAUUGUACCACUGCAUUCCAGCCUGGGCAACACAGAGAGACCCUGUCUCAAAAAGAAAAAAAAAAAAGGAAAGAAAGAUAAGGGAUGAUUGUUAGUACCCAAAGACGGUUGCAAGCUGCGGUAGAACAUGUCCAGGCGGGGCAGGGUUUCUUCCCUUUUGGAACCAAGCAGUGAAUUCUAAUAAAGCACAGAGUUGACUGGGGGGACAAACAGAGUGAAGAGUUUCCUUAUCAUUCAUUUUCAGGGAAGUUUUAGGAGACCAAUUCCUUCUAAUGAAUUUAUUUAUAAAUUACAUUCGGCAAUUUAACAUAGUGCUGCCCUCUCAGAAGUUCUCCCUCAGUAGAUUUGGCAGCUGAGUCUGGGAAUGUGUACCUUCUCCAAGCACCCUUGGUCAUUCUGAUGCCAGCAGUCUGACCAAUAUGGGAUAAUUGUUAAGAGCAGGGAUCCUAGGGUUCACAUUCUGGCUCCACUCCUUACUAGCUGUGUGAUGUUGGGCAAAUCAAUCAACCUUUCUGCACCCCAGUUUUCUCAACUGUAAAAUGAGUUUCUCUGGAAACCUAAGGUUGCUAUGAAAAUCAAAUGAGCUAACACAGAUAACUUGGUUAGAAUAGGAUCUCAGAUGCAGGAAGCAUGCAACACCUGUCAGCUGUUAUAACUCCUAGCUGCUCUUUCUUUAUUUCUAAGUUUCUUUUUCAUGUGCAAUGUUUUAUACAUCAACAUAUUUCAUGUUCAUGAUUUGGGUUUAUUAUAUCUCUAUAGAAUUAUCCAAAUGUUAUGUAUGAUAUCUAAUUUUUGGAUGUCCUUUUUAAAAAAGGUGUGAUUACAAACUACUGUUAAUCUCUCUUAUUUGAAAAAAAUUGUAUUUUACAA